AAACAAAACCUAGGUGAGGAAUUUCAAGAGAAAAAGUGUGGAAAAUCAAGGAAAACAAGUGAAAAAGGUAGGAUUUUUCAACUUAAGCUUGAAAUCUAUUUUCCUUAAGCAUUUCUCUUUAUUUUCCAUGCUCAAAUUGCAUGUUUUUAUGAUGAAUUGUUGGCUGAUCAAAAUGGGUUAGGAGAGAGAAAGUUGUUGGAUUUAUUUGAUUUUAAUUUAUGUUAGUGUUUUUAGUUAGUUUAGCAUAUUUAGAAACAAAACAACAAGAAAAGAAUUUAUUUUCUCCCCCAACCAUUAAUGGCUGAAUUUACCAUGUAGUGAGUGAGGAUGAGUUUGAUUUUAUUCUAGGAGAAUUGGUUAAGGAAUAAUGAAUUAUGAGCCUAGAAAAAUAAUGGGAAUUUUCGGAGCAAAAAUACGAAUUUUUACCCACUAGGGGUAUUUUCGUAAUUUGCUGUUGGGACUGAUAAUUUGCAUCACACUGAGGGACAUUAAGUUAAUUUGGGUGCAAUUGAGGUAUAGAAACUGAAAAGAAUUAAAUUGGAGUUUAAACGAACCCGUUAGGAAUUUAAUCGGGUGAUAAGACGAAUUAGGCCAAUACCGGGUUUAGAUAGUUACCAGUGCAUUUUUGCAUUCCAUAUCAUGCAUUGGUAGUCUAAAUUAGUUUAAUUUUGAUUUAGUACCAACUUAGUGAAAUUCUCGAUUUUGUACUGUGUCAAGGUGGUGAGUCCUCCAAUAAAGGCAAGGAAAUUGCAUCCGAGGACCAGUAGACAGAGUGCUUCGAAAGUCUGCAUUCUAGACAUUGUGAGUAAACUUACUGUCAUUUUAAUUAUCUAGGGUGGUUUUUAGAUGCUUUCAUGAAUUCUAUGGAAAAAGGAAUUUAAAAAGAUAAAUUUUCAUGUUUUAUGAAUAAAUGAGUUUCAAUGAAAUUAAAUUAUAAAUUGUUUUGAAAUUAAUAGUGAUUUUGAAAAAUAGAGUACACGGAGACUGUUAAUUGUGGCAAUUUGAUUGUUUAAAUUAACUGGCUUAUGAUAAAUCGAGCAUGAUUGGCUAGUUGGCAAUUGUAUUGAAAUGCGAAUUGUUUGGUUACCUUGAAAAACUACGAAUUACAAAAUUGCCAUAUCAUGUUAUUGAGUUUUAUUAUAUGGUGGAUUAUAUAUUAAUUAAUCACUGCAGUAGGGGGUUUCUGUGGACCAGCCUUUUAGAGGGGCACGGUAAACCCCAUUAUAUUCUUACCUCGAACGGAGAGGCGCGUAGGGUAUCUCCUGGGGUAAAGUUUAGGGUUCACUUCACGCUAAACCACCACGUGAGGGGGAACUCAGCCAACGCCAAGGAACGGCUAUGUUUUCAAAACAAAAACAUGAUUUAUGUGAAAUGUGAAUUUUAAUAGCCUUGGCGGUCUCGGUAGGAUGCCUCGGCCAAGGUGUCCCCGAGAAUGGAUUUAUGGCACAAGCCUAGAUUUUUAUGAGAUUCAUAAGCCUCUUUACGUGUUUUGAACAAAAUGUGUUCUAAUGCUAUAACCCAGUUUAUGAUGAUUUACUUUAUUGUCUCCAUGUACUCAACUCUAGAUGUUUAUGAUGAUGUUUGUUUACUCAUUGGGAUUUUAUAAUCUCACCACCCUCCUUUCCACCCAUUUCAGGUUCAGUAUAGACUGUAGAUAGCUGAUCUCAUCGAGGACUACAGUGGGAUCUGCAUUUUCCAAACCGUAGGUUCACAGUCCUCUUUACUUUUGUUUAUUCGGGGGCACUCUUGUUAUUGUAAAUUAAAUUAAAUAUUUUGGCUUACUGUAUUUAAGUAUGUAUAAAUUUAUUUAACUUUUACGCUAUAAAAAUU
rnacentral:lncRNA from 1 species